rnacentral:rRNA from 1 species
GCUGUUAAGGGUUCGUAGUUGAAUUGGGGGUUGUUGAGUAAACGAUUGGAGGUUCACUCUUCGGGGUUCCCAACCAUCGCACUUGCAACUCGAGAACAUCAGAAACAACAGCACGGGAGUGCGCCUUCCUGAAAUCACGCAUGCAACGCGUGUUUUGUAAGGGGGCGCCCGUGAUAUUUCUGUGACAAAUGAAAGGUGACUAAAACAGUCAAGCGACAUGAAUUAGAAAGCAUGGGUAACAAAGGAGCAACCUACGGGCUUCCGUUUCGGCUUUUGUUGGUUUUAAAUGUCUGUGGGGAUUAUGGAAGCGUAAGCCCAGCUGUUCCGGACAACGUCCGACAGUCCUCUAGUUGUGCCCUUCGGUGCGCCCUCUAGACUUGCGUUUCCAGGAAUGAAGGAGGGUUGUUCGGGGGGAACGUACUUGAGCGUGAGAGGUGAAAUUCUUAGACCGCUCAAAGACGAACUACAGCGAGGCAUUCUUCAAGGCUACCUUCCUCAAUCAAGAACCGAAGUGUGGAGAUCGAAGAUGAUUGAUACCAUUGUAGUCC